AGAGAAAAAAGCAAGAAAAAAAAUUAAGAGUGAGAAAGUUCUCUAGUUAUCUUAAGUUCUUUAAAUUUCUUAGUUUCAAAAGUUUGUAAGUUACUUUUAAAAAAAAGAGUAUGUGAAAAGUGUGAAAAGUUUUCUUAGUUCUUCAUUUUUCGGUAGCUGUCAAGUUUUUAGGGAACUCCCGAAAGGGAAACCUCACUUCUUCCUUAGGACAUGUAAAUAGUAGUUACAUAGGUCUUUGUAUUUAUCUCUCAAGUUUGUAAAUUAUGUUUAAAUUAAUCAAGAUUAUAUUUUCCUUCACAUGUAUUUUAUUAAGAUUCGGAUCGCCGGCGGUUUUCCGCCGGUUUUCUGAUCUUGCAAAAUUUGUAAAUUACUUAUAAAAAUACCCUUAGUAUAUGAUUAUUCUCUCAGUGUUUUAGUAAUAACGAUGGUUUAAUAUGUAAAUUUUUAGGGACUUGAAAAGUCCGAAGAAGAUGAAAAAAGGA
rnacentral:lncRNA from 1 species